UACGUAGGGGGCAAGCGUUGUCCGGAAUCAUUGGGCGUAAAGCGCGUGUAGGCGGCUCGGUAAGUCUGCUGUGAAAGUCCAGGGCUCAACCCUGGGAUGCCGGUGGAUACUGUCGAGCUCGAGUCCGGAAGAGGCGAGUGGAAUUCCUGGUGUAGCGGUGAAAUGCGCAGAUAUCAGGAGGAACACCAAUGGCGAAGGCAGCUCGCUGGGACGUGACUGACGCUGAGACGCGAAAGCGUGGGGAGCAAUCAGG
rnacentral:rRNA from 1 species